rnacentral:rRNA from 1 species
CCCCUAGAUGUUCUGGGCCGCACGCGCGCUACACUGUUCGACGCAGCGAGUCUUAACCUUGACCGAAAGGUUUGGGUAAUCUUCAGCAAAGUCGAACGUGAUGGGGAUCGAUCAUUGCAAUUAUUGAUCGUGAACGAGGAAUUCCUAGUAAGUGCAAGUCAUCAGCUUGCGCUGAUUACGUCCCUGCCCUUUGUACACACCGCCCGUCGCUACUACCGAUUGAAUGGUUUAGUGAGAUCUCUGGAUUGACGCUGGCUAGGGGGCGACCCUUGGCCAGGCUGUCGAGAAACUGCUCAAACUUGAUCAUUUAGAGGAAGUAAAAGUCGUAACA